rnacentral:sRNA from 1 species
AACGUCCUUAACGGCGCAUUAACCAUUCCCGGAUAGACGUAAAGGCAUCCGGGACCCUUCCUGGAUGCCGAGUGGCUUUGAAGCCCACUCUGUUCGACGCUUCCCUGUUAGACUUCAAGAGCCGCUCCGUGCGGCUCGAUUUUU